GUGCUCGCUUCGGCAGCACAUAUACUAAAAUUGGAAUGAGACAAAGAGGAUUAGCAUGGCCCCUGUGCAAGAAUGACAUGCAAAUCUGUGAAGCAGUCCAUAUAUUU
rnacentral:snRNA from 1 species